rnacentral:rRNA from 1 species
GUUGUUAAGACUAGCCAUGCACGUCUAAGUACAAACUAAAUGAUGGUGAAACUGCAAAUGGCUCAUUACAACGGUUAUGAUGUACCCGGGAGUUCCGAUGGAUAUUUCCAGUAACACUAGAACUAAUACAUGUCCCUGCGUUUAUUAGUUUCGCACAGUCCGUCGCUGAGUCAUGGUAAACAGUUGAUCGACUCGACGUCCCGGAACAGUUUCCGCCCCAUCAGCUUCGAUGGUUGGGUAUUGGCCUACCAUUGCAACAACGGGUAACGAGAAAUUAGGGUUUGAUUUCGGAGAGGGAGCCUGAGAAACGGCUACCACAUCUACGGAUGGCAGCAGGCGCGCAAAUUACCCAAUGCAGACACUGUGAGGUAGUGACGAGAAAUAAUAAAGCGGGACUUCUGUUUCGCUAUUAUAAUGAGGAAUAACCAAAGGUCAUUCCGAUUAGCAACUGAUGGGAAAGUCUGGUGCCAGCAGCCGCGGUAAUACCAGCGUCAGUAGCA